rfam:Penicillium brasilianum genome assembly, contig: SCAF4
UCGUCUCUUGCCUCGCUCGGUCUGCCGUCUUCACUCGGCUAAUCUUGAGCUGGAUGCCGCCCAUUCACUUUCGUGUCUGGCCAGUAUGAGACAAGAAGGAGCGUGGAUUUCCACGCGUCGACGUUUUUUGAGUACGGUUUCAUCCGCAUUGCACCACGGAUCCACACCGUAAUUUAUCUGUCGGGACAGCU